GUCUCUCUAAAUUGCCGAGGGACUCACUAAAUUGCCUAGUCUGGCCUCCAAUUACGAUUCUCCUGCCUCAGCCUCCAGAGUCGCUGAGAUUACAAGUGUGUGCCACCACGCCCAGCUGGUUCCUUUGACCUUACUGCGAAUCCCAUUACCCAGGGCACCAGUUUCCUCUCAGUGGAGUAUGGAGCAGAGAAGUUAGGACAUGAAGAGGAGGUCCUCAGUGCCCGCUGGCCAUCCCUGUUCUGCCCCAGGAACUCUCUUCCUCCCUUUGGGCCCUCCAGGCUCCUCUCCACAUGCAGCGAGCUUUGCCCACCACCUCGGGCUGCUCUCCAGGGCUUGGUGGCUUUAGGUCUCAUCACAGAGAAGCUUUCAGCCUAAAGUCUCAUCACAUCUGGGUGACUUCUGCCAUGCUCCACAGAGGUCUGCCAACAUGCUUCUGCUGCCAUGAUGUACUUUACCACCACAGGUGCAAAGCAACUGGGCCAAGUGACCAUGGACUAAAACCUCUGAGACUAUGACCCAAAAUAAAUAAAUAAAUCCUAACUCUCACUUUUUUUUUUUGAGACCAGGUCUUGGAAAUUGCUGCUGAUCCUCCCAAGAGGAGGAAAC